UGGAAGAGCAAGUAAUGAAGAAAGAAAAUAAUUCCUCUCCAUGGAGAGAGAUGAAAUGAACUGUUCCAUAGACACACAUUUAUUUAGUUAUUUAGUAUUUCUUUAUGACAAAUGCAUUUCAUUUUUCGUAAAUACACUUAAGAGUUCUUUCUGUCUUUGUGUUUGAUUUCUUGCUUGUAUUUAUCCAUGAAGCUUAUGAGGUAUGAAGGGUGAAAAGAUGUGAAGUUAAAAUCAAGCUGGAAAGAAAAAACGGCGUGGCGUGGUGACGUAACCCGAAGCACGAGCUCAAAGCCUGAGUGCAUGCUUCCCUGGUUUUGUCAGUAAUAUUGACUUGUUAACAAAACACACAUGCCAAAAGUAAUGGGCAGUGUUUAUCACCUAUAUAAGACCGGCACUGGGUAGGAAACCCAGGGGGCAGUGUUUAUCACCUAUAUAAGACCGGCACUGGGAACCCAGGGGGCAGUGUUUAUCACCUAUAUAAGACCGGCACUGGGAACCCAGGGGGCAGUGUUUAUCACCUAUAUAAGACCGGCACUGGGAACCCAGGGGGCAGUGUUUAUCACCUAUAUAAGACCAGCUUGACUUUUUACUUCACAUUAAAUUAUGUUACUUCUUAUUUUCACCCCUCAUACCCCAUCAUGUUGAUUCUGCUGGGGAUCCAUUUCUGUUCAACUACCUUCUGCCUCAAGCACUCGUCUCCUGGGAUCCAAGAGUAUGCCUGUUU
ensembl:lncRNA